rnacentral:snRNA from 1 species
GUGCUUGCUUUGGCAGCACACAUACUAAAAUUGGAACUAUACAGAGAAGAUUAGCAUGGCCCCUGCACAAGGAUGACACGCAAAUUCGUGAAGCGUUCUAUAUUUUU